rnacentral:lncRNA from 1 species
UGAGAACCAAACCGAGCCCGGCAAAGGUACCAACCGGAGACGAACCGUGUAACCGUUCACCACCCGCAAACGGCAGUACGGCACACUGGCAAGCAACAAACACAUAACAGAAGCGCACGUCUGCGCCGCAAAGGAACCCCAAUCCGAACUCACCCACAGCCCCGCGAGCGACAGGCAGAUCCCAGACGGAGAUCACGACCCGUCCGAUCCGCCCGCGACCUUUCCCCCCUCCA